rnacentral:rRNA from 1 species
GAUGAACGCUAGCUACAGGCUUAACACAUGCAAGUCGAGGGGAAACGACAUCGAAAGCUUGCUUUUGAUGGGCGUCGACCGGCGCACGGGUGAGUAACGCGUAUCCAACCUGCCCACCACUUGGGGAUAACCUUGCGAAAGUAAGACUAAUACCCAAUGACGUCUCUAGAAGACAUCUGAAAGAGAUUAAAGAUUUAUCGGUGAUGGAUGGGGAUGCGUCUGAUUAGCUUGUUGGCGGGGUAACGGCCCACCAAGGCGACGAUCAGUAGGGGUUCUGAGAGGAAGGUCCCCCACAUUGGAACUGAGACACGGUCCAAACUCCUACGGGAGGCAGCAGUGAGGAAUAUUGGUCAAUGGGCGAGAGCCUGAACCAGCCAAGUAGCGUGCAGGAUGACGGCCCUAUGGGUUGUAAACUGCUUUUAUGCGGGGAUAAAGCGGGCGACGUGUCGCCCCUUGCAGGUACCGCAUGAAUAAGGACCGGCUAAUUCCGUG